UCCCAUCCCCAACCAAACGACCUAUUUAUAAUAUAUUGACACCUCAAAAUUGAUCGUCCGUCUCACAGAAAGGAGAAAUCGAGUGUCCGAAUCAAUUUCAACAAGUAACGUGACGAUAGGAGGAAAAUCGUGAUGGAUUCUGGCGAUUCUUCAACGUCCAUGUCUAAUUUGACUCAGGUGUUCCAUUUUUCUUCUGGAAACCCUCGCAUCGAAGAAACCAGAGGCGUCAUGCAUCUAUUCUCCAACGAUGUUGCUUCUUAUUCAUCAUCUCACUUACCUGUGGAAAGAAAGCCUCUCCUCUGUGUUCUAUGUGUUCCGAAUCACAUGACAUAUUCAGACUUUUGUCAGUUUUGUGGUUCAUUUGUUCAACAUAUGUUGGAAAUGCGAAUUGUCAGGAAUGAUGGUAUGGAAGAUUGUUACAGUAUAUUGAUCAGGUUUGAUGAGCAGAAAGCUGCAGAUACUUUUCACAAGCAUUUUAGUGGUAGAAGAUUUUCAUCUCUUGAGGAAGAGACGUGCAAUGUGUUAUUUGCUGCUGAUGUUCAUUACACCGGUUCAAUUGAGCACACACAGUCAUUACCUGCAAGCUCUACAGAGCAACCGUUCUGUCCUGUUUGUCUUGAGAGACUGGACCAGGAUACAAGUGGAAUUCUCACAACCAUUUGUAAUCAUUCCUUUCAUUGUUCAUGUAUUUCAAAAUGGACAGAUUCUUCAUGCCCCGUAUGCCGAUAUUGCCAGCAGCAGCCUGGAAACUCAACAUGUUCUAUCUGUCAAUCACCAGAAAAUCUAUGGAUGUGUGUUAUUUGUGGUUUUGUUGGGUGUGGAAGAUACAAAGAGGCUCAUGCUACAAGGCACUGGAAGGAGACACAACAUUGCUAUGCACUUGAAUUGGAAACACGGCGUGUCUGGGACUACGCAGGGGAUAACUAUGUUCACCGUUUGAUUCAGUCUAAAACUGAUGGGAAGCUGGUUGAGCUCAACCACCAUGGUCAUCAUGAUAGUGAUGGCUGCUGCAGCUGCGAGUGUGGUACAGAUCCUGGAUUCAGCGAGACUAUUUUAAACAGCAAAGUUGAAGCUAUUGUGAACGAGUACAAUGAUCUCCUGACUUCCCAGCUGGAGGAUCAAAAAAUGUACUUUGAGUCCUUAUUGCAAGAUGUUGAAGAAGAAAUUGAAAGGGAAACUAAGGAAGCUGUUGAGAAAGCUCUAUGCCAGAAUCCAAGGUUAAUGAAGUUAAAAGUUCGUUUGGACAAAUACGUUGAAGAGAAGAAAUUCCAUGAUGAUAUCAAUGACAAUCUUAUGAGAAACAAGGAGAUAUGGGAAGCCAAGAUAGUGGAAAUUGAAGAAAGGUAUUAUCUUUCCUUGUUGUCAUGUGUCCUCUUCUGAGGCAAUGGCAGUAAAUAUAUCUGUCAGAACUCUUUCACCCAUCAACCCGCUUUUCUUCAAAUGUUUGUUCUUUUAUUUUCUAUGCAACUGCUAGUAUUUUCACAAUUCCCACAUAGGUGGAUCACAAGAACUGCGAUUUUGUACCGAUUGACAUCAACUUUCUUUUUGCAUGUUGUGCUUCAUAAUGAUUGUUAAAAGGAUUCAUUCACUGUAACUUCUCUGACUAGCAUAUGAAGUAGCAACAUCACGUCAUACAUAUAGUAAGAAAUAAGCUCCAGGACACACUGGGAGUUUCUCUUUCUUAUCAGAUAAUCAUAUUCUCUCAUGGUUCCAAAUCCCACAUAGGUAUAUAUUGUUAUCUUUUAAAAAAAUUCACCUCUUGCCAUUAAACGAGGCUUCUAAUAAAUUUAGAAUUGCUUCUUUCAGAUACGUAUUGGUUUGGGAACUUGUUUUUGUUGCUUUGUGAUAACUGCUUCUCAAAGAUCUGGUUCUAAGAGGAAAGAAUAUGCCGCUAGUGCAAAAUUCCAGAUUGGUUUGGUUUUCUUGCAAAGUUGAUAUACUCUAUGCAUUGUAGUUUCUUAUGAGGAAAUGCUGGACUCAGCAUAAGGCAGGUUUUUUUUUCUCUUUUCUUGUGAGUUAGUGUUGUUCAUGUAAUGAAUGAUAAAGUACUUCAGACCAACUUCAUGUGCAUUCAUCCAGAACUGCUAAAUUACUUCCCAAUUUUGUCAUGUAAUUUCCUAUUUUAUCUUCUAACAUCUAACUUUCAGGGAGAAGAAGGCGCAGAAAAUGAAGGAUGAG